rnacentral:tRNA from 1 species
AGCUAUAGGAAACAGCAACAGCCUUUUAAGCUGUAGAUAGGUGACUUCCGUCCACCCUCAUCGA